UGGCCUGGAUGGACUGCGGCCGAUCAGCUGUUGGUGAGGUAAUGGCCCACCAACCUGUAACCGGUACGGGCUCUGAGAGGAGGAGCCGGAGAUGGGCACUGAGACAAGGGCCCAGGCCCUAUGGGGCGCAGCAGGCGCGAAACCUCUGCAAUAGGCGAAAGCCUGACAGGGUUACUCUGAGUGAUUUCCGUUAAGGAGAUCUUUUGGCACCUCUAAAAAUGGUGCAGAAUAAGGGGUGGGCAAGUCUGGUGUCAGCCGCCGCGGUAAUACCAGCACCCCGAGUGGUCGGGACGUUUAUUGGGCCUAAAGCAUCCGUAGCCGAUUCUACAAGUCUUCCGUUAAAUCCACCUGCUCAACAGAUGGGCUGCGGAAGAUACUAUAGAGCUAGGAGGCGGGAGAGGCAAGCGGUACUCGAUGGGUAGGGGUAAAAUCCGUUGAUCCAUUGAAGACCACCAGUGGCGAAGGCGGCUUGCCAGAACGCGCUCGACGGUGAGGGAUGAAAGCUGGGGGAGCAAACCGGAUUAGAUACCCGGGUAGUCCCAGCUGUAAACGAUGCAGACUCGGUGAUGAAUUGGCUUUAUGCCAAUUCAGUGCCGCAGG
rnacentral:rRNA from 1 species